rnacentral:rRNA from 1 species
GGCGAACGGGUGAGUAACACGUGGGUGAUCUGCCCUGUACUUCGGGAUAAGCUUGGGAAACUGGGUCUAAUACCGGAUAGGACCAUGGUUUAGUGUCUCAUGGUGGAAAAAUUAUUGUUUUGGUGCAGGAUGAGCUCGCGGCCUAUCAGCUUGUUGGUGGGGUAAUGGCCUACCAAGGCGUCGACGGGUAGCCGGCCUGAGAGGGUGGACGGCCACAUUGGGACUGAGAUACGGCCCAG